rnacentral:rRNA from 1 species
UCCUUACGAGGGAAAUGCUUUUGCGCUAUGGGAUGGGGCUAUGUCCUAUCAGCUUGUUGGUGAGGUAACGGCUCACCAAGGCUAUGACGGGUAUCUGGUUUGAGAGGAUGAUCAGACACACUGGAACUGAGACACGGUCCAGACUCCUACGGGGGGCAGCAGUGGGGAAUAUUGGACAAUGGGCGCAAGCCUGAUCCAGCAACGCCGCGUGGAGGAUGAAGGUCUUCGGAUUGUAAACUCCUUUUAAGAGGGAAGAUAAUGACGGUACCUCUUGAAUAAGCACCGGCUAACUCCGUGCCAGCAGCCGCGGUAAUACGGAGGGUGCAAGCGUUACUCGGAAUCACUGGGCGUAAAGCGCAUGUAGGCGGACUAACAAGUCAGGCGUGAAAGCCUAUGGCUUAACCAUAGAAUUGCGCUUGAAACUGUUAGUCUAGAGUGUGGGAGAGGCAGAUGGAAUUUCCGGUGUAGGGGUAAAAUCCGUAGAGAUCGGAAAGAAUACCUAUUGCGA